AAAGUCGUAACAAGGUUUCCGUAGGUGAACCUGCGGAAGGAUCAUUACCGAGAUAGGGUCUCUUCGGAGCCCGACCUCCAACCCAAUGUCUAUAUUACCUCUGUUGCCUCGGCGUGCCGCCGGCGUCUCCUUUGCGGGGGUUCGUCUGCCGUCGGUCCCUUUAAUCGGGGGCUUUCGAGCGUGCGCCGCGGGGAUAUACAAAAACUCUUUAUUAAAACAGUAUUUCUGAGUGGGAUUUAAUGGCUUCAAAACUUUCAACAACGGAUCUCUUGGUUCUG
rnacentral:misc_RNA from 1 species